CGGCGGACGGGUGAGUAACGCGUGGGUAACCUGCCUUAUACAGGGGGAUAACAGUUAGAAAUGACUGCUAAUACCGCAUAAGCGCACAGUACCGCAUGGUACAGUGUGAAAAACUCCGGUGGUAUAAGAUGGACCCGCGUCUGAUUAGCCAGUUGGCGGGGUAACGGCCCACCAAAGCGACGAUCAGUAGCCGACCUGAGAGGGUGACCGGCCACAUUGGGACUGAGACACGGCCCAAACUCCUACGGGAGGCAGCAG
rnacentral:rRNA from 1 species